GGUUUGACAUGAUGUCAUCGAUAGCUCAAGGGGAGUGACUGAUGAUGCUAUAAUUGAACCGAAAACAAGUUGUUUCACAUCUUGAUAGGAAUGAAUCUGUUCAUCUUUUUCUCCAUAUAUUUACAGAGCUGUUUUUUGUGAUGCACAUUU